rnacentral:rRNA from 1 species
GACGAACGCUGGCGGCGUGCUUAACACAUGCAAGUCGAACGGAAAGGCCCUGCUUUUGUGGGGUGCUCGAGUGGCGAACGGGUGAGUAACACGUGAGUAACCUGCCCUUGACUUUGGGAUAACUUCAGGAAACUGGGGCUAAUACCGGAUAGGAGCUCCUGCUGCAUGGUGGGGGUUGGAACGUUUCGGCGGUUGGGGAUGGACUCGCGGCUUAUCAGCUUGUUGGUGGGGUAGUGGCUUACCAAGGCUUUGACGGGUAGCCGGCCUGAGAGGGUGACCGGCCUCAUUGGGACUGAGAUACGGCCCAGACUCCUACGGGAGGCAGCAGUGGGGAAUAUUGCACAAUGGGCGGAUGCCUGAUGCAGCCACGCCGCGUGCGGGAUGACGGCCUUCGGGUUGUAAACCGCUUUCGCCUGUGACGAAGCGUGAGUGACGGUAAUGGGUAAAGAAGCACCGGCUAACUACGUG